rnacentral:lncRNA from 1 species
GCUCGAUCCUAAUGAGGGCAACGAAAUCUCCAUGGCCAAUUCCCGCCAAAAUAUCAGAAAAUUGGUGAAGGAUGGUUUCAUCAUCAGGAAGCCAACCAAAAUUCAUUCCAGAUCUCGUGCUCGCAGAAUGAAGGAAGCCAAGAGGAAAGGCCGUCACUCUGGAUACGGUACCCUCCAAGUCUUGACAUUUGAUAUUAGCUCUUUUCUCUUUUCUUUUCCUUUUGUCUAUCUCUGUGUUUAUUAAAAUGUUUGUAGCAGGUUUUGAUCAGUUUAGCUCCAGUGAAACCUAGAUUAUUUUAGUAACGUUAUCAAUUUACUUUUUUGAUCAACUUUAGACUUUGUCAACGAAAUACACUAUUCCUGCGAGAUUCGUGAGCCAGCUUAUUAAUUGUUUGCUUUUUCUCGAGUAAACGAUGGGUUUUUCUAAGUGAUGAUAAUUAGAUUUGAGCUUCGCAAAUAGCCGGUGCUUAGGCUUGAUUAAGGAGGGUUGUUGUAGGGUCAACAGUGUAAAAUGUUAAAUAACGGGUAAUUACACUUUUAUACCUUGAUAAUCAUUAUUUGACAAUCUGAUUAAAAUGGUUACUAACUUGAAUCACUUUACACUACACUGGCUGUGUAUGUAACUUGAGUCCUGAUACGGUUAACUCUCUGCUAACUUUGGGGAUAAAUGGUUCAUUUAGCCGAUUGCAACUUGAGGUGUAGUUGAUCCACAUUAUUGGCAGACGUGGAUAGGGUAUGCAAUACAUUAUUUUGCUGACAUUGUCGUUUUUCAGCUUGUUUAAUGUGACAUAGUCAAGAGUAUUUAGACCUUGAGAUGGAACUGUGAUAGAGCCGCUUUACAGCUAUUUGCUUCUUUCUCUAAUGUCUACUUAAGACAAAUGAUAUUUAUGAUUACUCAAUCAAUACCUCCACUUUGGGGAGGUAGCAAUUGCUAGGUGAGAUGGUAGAGUUGUGCGUAAGCCGCCCUUGACACCACCGGCAAUAAUAAACUAGGAAAAUUGAAUGUAGCUGUAACUAUCUUGUUGUUGUGAUCACCGGCAAUAAUAAUCCUUAUCUUGCUUUCCCUUUGUUGUUGUGACACCUAUUUCCUGUGGUAAUUUCUGAACAAUCGACGGUAAUCCCUUCAUUUGCAUUUGGUGCAGGCCAAAAUAUCAGAAAAUUGGUGAAGGAUGGUUUCAUCAUCAGGAAGCCAACCAAAAUUCAUUCCAUGUGAUCUCUUUGGCUUCAAGCAAUGUAACUCUUCAUGGUUUCAUCAUCAGGAAGCCAACCAAAAUUCAUUCCAGAUCUCGUGCUCGCAGAAUGAAGGAAGCCAAGAGGAAAGGCCGUCACUCUGGAUACGGUAAGCGCAAAGGUACCAGGGAGGCUAGACUGCCCACAAAGGUGCUUUGGAUGAGGAGAAUGAGAGUCCUUAGGCGCUUGCUCCCUCCAAGUCUUGACAUUUGAUAUUAGCUCUUUCAAUGUUACUUUGGUUAAUUUUAUAUGGCAUGAUUCAAUUCUUUAGGGUUGAAUCUGCUAAUUUUCAGUCUUACUUCGAAUAUUGGUUUCCCUUUUUUAGUUGAUGUUUAGUUUUCAAUUCAAAAUAAAGAAGAUUAUAAUUAGGAGGUGGAAUUUGGAGAAGAAUGAUGACUAUAAAAAUGUGAUUGAGAGAGUAUAAAGCUACAAUUAGGAGGUGGAAUUUGGAGAAGAAUGAUGACUAUAAAAUGUGAUUGAGAGAGUAUAAAGCUGUGCUUAGUAAUUUUGUGAGGAUUUAUUUCGUAGCAUGUUUUGUUUGAAUACGUGUCACUUUUCUUUUUUAAUCCUAUAUUUCUGAUUUCAUUGUAUCUCUGAUGAACAAUUGCUGGGUGAAAUUGCUUGAUGAGCUCUCAGGUAAGCGCAAAGGUACCAGGGAGGCUAGACUGCCCACAAAGGUGCUUUGGAUGAGGAGAAUGAGAGU